rnacentral:rRNA from 1 species
AGGACGAACGCUGGCGGCGUGCUUAACACAUGCAAGUCGAACGAUGAACUAGGAGCUUGCUCUUGGGGAUUAGUGGCGAACGGGUGAGUAACACGUGAGUAACCUGCCCUUGACUCUGGGAUAACCUCCGGAAACGGAAGCUAAUACCGGAUACGACGUACGGAGGCAUCUCCUGUACGUGGAAAGAACUUCGGUCAAGGAUGGACUCGCGGCCUAUCAGGUAGUUGGUGAGGUAAUGGCCCACCAAGCCUACGACGGGUAGCCGGCCUGAGAGGGUGACCGGCCACGACUGGGACUGAGACACGGCCCAGACUCCUACGGGAGGCAGCAGUGGGGAAUAUUGCGCAAUGGGCGGAAGCCUGACGCAGCGACGCCGCGUGCGGAUGAAGGCCUUCGGGUUGUAACCGCUUCACCAGGACGAAGCGAGAGUGACGGUACCUGGGGAAGAAGCGCCGGCUAACUACGUGCCAGCAGCCGC